rnacentral:rRNA from 1 species
UACGGAGGAUGCAAGCGUUAUCCGGAAUGAUUGGGCGUAAAGAGUCCGUAGGUGGUUGUGAAAGUCUGUGGUUAAAGCGCGAAGCUCAACUUCGUAAGGGCCAUGGAAACUAUGCGACUAGAGUGAGAUAGGGGUAGAGGGAAUUCUUGGUGUAGCGGUGAAAUGCGUAGAUAUCAAGAAGAACACCGGUGGCGAAAGCGCUCUACUGGAUCUUAACUGACACUGAGGGACGAAAGCUAGGGGAGCGAAAGGG